AUCCAGCUGACGAAUCUCGAAUAGGACGAAACGCAUGUUCUGAAU
rnacentral:hammerhead_ribozyme from 1 species